UAUUUUUUGUGUUCGCUUGAUCAAAUAGAGAAUUAAUCAUACAAGAAAAAUUUACAUCAUGUACUAUAAAAAAACAAGAAUAUAUUUAUAAAAAUAUUGUACCAAUCUUUACAAAAAUACUAGCUCUCUUCUUCAUCUUUCACAUCUCUUUAUUGCUUUGGAACCCUUUUUGUUUUCUUUCUCUUCCUCCAUUAUUAUCCACUACCACCAUCAAUCUGUGCCGUCCUCAGUUCGCUGCUACCACCAUCGCCCUUAGUUUUAUGCCGUUACCACCAUUAGCUCAUCGUCGAUGCCGCUGCUGCCAACAGCUCAUCGAUGCCGCCUCCGACAUCGGUUCCAUUUUUCCGCCGCCACUCGUUCUCACCCAGUUUUCAAAUAUGAAAAAUAGCCUUGAAUCAGAUUUGAAACCAUUGGAUAAUAUUAGUGCGAUUGUGGAAAAUUUGGCUGUCUACUUCAAGUGGGCCAUUCUGGAUAAAGGCCUCCAAUACUGAAAAGGAAGAAAUGGUCCCAACUAAUAUCCUCCUAACCCUUUGGAGGUGACUGAGCUUAUGACAUCUUCAUGUUCCGAAUUUGGAUGGAUUUGAGCCGAACCUAAUCAGACUUGAUAUUUAUUUUUAUUGUAAA